rnacentral:lncRNA from 1 species
CAAUCUGACCCCAACAUGGUUAUAGUAGGUAAACCGUGGAAGAAACACGGAAAUAGAAAUAAGAAAGAAAAACUAAGACGGUUAAAACCAAAUGGUUACUGAAGAAGAGAAUGAAGAUUUAAAUCGGUGUGUAGUAAUACCGCUAAAACAACUUCCUUACAAGAGUCGAAUAUUUUAUUCAGCAAAAAUUUACAAUCGUAUAAUAAAAAGUCAAUACAACAUUUAUUAAGUACAGCAAUAUGGCGUAUAUAACAUGGUGCGAUUAUGACAACAUCCAUUACAAGUUCAAAUAUUUCAUUGAACAAAUUUUGCAAUCGUAUAAAAACUAAAUAGAACAUUAAAUAACAUCAAUAUGGCGAUGGUACAACAGAGGCGAUUUUUUAUCGUUGGAAAUAAAUUGAUUUCCUCUUUAUAGAAAUCGAUUUAUUUCUGAAUAGAAAAAGAAACCGAUAAUCGAAAUAAAAUAACCGAA